rnacentral:rRNA from 1 species
UACGGGGGGGCAAGCGUUGUUCGGAUUCAUUGGGCGUAAAGGGUGCGUAGGCGGCGCGGUAAGUCGGGUGUGAAAUCUCGGAGCUUAACUCCGAAACUGCAUUCGAUACUGCCGUGCUUGAGGACUGGAGAGGAGACUGGAAUUUACGGUGUAGCGGUGAAAUGCGUAGAUAUCGUAAGGAAGACCAGUGGCGAAGGCGGGUCUCUGGACAGUUCCUGACGCUGAGGCACGAAGGUCAGGGGAGCAAACGGG